CCCAGGGUUUUAGAGCCCUUGAAGCAUGAUCAGAAGUUAAUUGACGUGAACAUCUGUUUCGCUCCCUCCCAGUCUCACCGUAAAUUCCACGCGCCCCGCCAUGGGCACAUGGGCUUCCUGCCCUGCAAGCGCAGCAAGAAGCACCGGGGGAAGCCCCGCAGCUGGCCCCAGGACGACCCCAGCCAGCCCGUCCACCUCACCGCCUUCAUGGGCUACAAGGCCGGCAUGACCCACAUCCUGCGUGAGGUGCACCGCACUGGCCUGAAGCAAGCCAAACGUGAGUCUGUGGAGACGGUCACUAUCAUCGAGACUCCGCCUGUGAUGGUGGUGGGGGUUGUUGGGUACAUCGACACAGUCCGUGGCCUGAGGUCCUUCAAGACCAUCUUCGCUGAGCACCUCAGUGACGAGUGCAAGCGCAGAUUCUGCAAAGCUGGUACAAGAGCAAGAAGAAGGCAUUCACCAAGUAUGCCAAGAAGUGGACAGACGAGAGUGGCAAGAAGCAGCUGGAGAAGGACUUUAAUAACAUGAAGAAAUACUGCUCAUCCAUCCGGGUCCUCAUCCACACUCAGAUUCGCCUGCUGCCCCUCAAAGCUAAGAAGGCCCAUAUCAUGGAGGUGCAGCUGAACGGCGGCACCAUCUCUGAGAAGGUGGACUGGGUCAAGGAGAAGCUGGAGCAGCCCGUCCCUGUGUCCUCAGUCUUCUACCAGGAUGAGAUGAUAGACGUCAUCGGGGUCUCCAAAGGUCAUGGGAUGAAAGGUGUGACCAGUCGUUGGGGAGUAAAGAAACUGCCCAGGAAGACUCACAAGGGCCUCCGUAAGGUGGCCUGUAUCGGCUAGCCUGGCACCCUUCCCAUGAGAUGGGCUGUACUGCUGAGACUGUGGUUCACCACCAUGCUGUUUCGGUGUUUUACUCUGGUCUACAGAUCUACCGUAUUGGCAAAGGGAUCCAUGUCCAGGAUGGCAAAGUGAUCAAGAACAACGCUUCCACUAACUACGACACCACCCAGAAGACUAUCACGCCCAUGGGAGGGUUCCCCCACUAUGGUGACGUGAAAAAUGACUUCUUGAUGCUGAAGGGCUGUGUGAUCGGCUGUAAGAAACGUGUCCUCACCCUGAGAAAGUCCAUGCUAGUGCACACAUCACGCAAGUCCAAGGAGACCAUCGACCUCAAGUUCAUCGACACCACAUCCAAGUUUGGCUACGGUCACUUCCAGACCCCCCAGGAGAAGAGGGCCUUCAUGGGCCCACUGAAGAAGGACGUGCUGAAUAAACUGCCCGCAAAACCAUUGCCAGAGGAGGUUUAGAAGUGAUGGUGGUCCACUGUUCUAACUAGCUCAACAGAGAAACAAGUUCUUAUAGUAACAGUCUUCUAAUAAAACAGUCUUGUCUA